AGAAUCAACGCUGGCGGCGUGCCUAACACAUGCAAGUCGCACGAGAAAGGGGACUUCGGUCCCUGAGUACAGUGGCGCACGGGUGAGUAACACGUGAAUCAUCUACCUUCGAGUGGGGAAUAACUGAGAGAAAUCUUAGCUAAUACCGCAUAAUACCCACGGGUCAAAGCAGCAAUGCGCUUGAAGAGGAGUUCGCGGCAGAUUAGCUAGUUGGCGGGGUAAUGGCCCACCAAGACGAUGAUCUGUA
rnacentral:rRNA from 1 species